rnacentral:rRNA from 1 species
CCUACGGGUGACAGCAGUAGGGAAUAUUGCUCAAUGGGGGAAACCCUGAAGCAGCAACGCCGCGUGGAGGAUGACGGUUUUCGGAUUGUAAACUCCUUUUGUUAGGGAAGAUAAUGACCUUAUCUAUCGAAUUUGCACCGUCUAACUUCGUGCCAGCAGCCCCGGUUAUACGGAGGGUGCAAGCGUUACUCGGAAUCACUGGGCGUAAAGAGAGCGUAGGCGGGAUAGCAAGUCAGCUGUGAAAUCCUAUGGCUUAACCAUGGAACUGCAUGUGAAACUCUUAUUCUUGAGUAUGGGGAAGGUAGGUGGAAUUCUUGGUGUAGCGGUAAAAUGCGUAGAGAUGAAGAGGAAUACUGAUUGCGAAGGC